AAAAGAAGAUCAAGAAGCGCUUCAGAAUGAAGCUUUCUUGGUGGAGGGGAGCGGCAGACGGGUGAGUAACACGUGGGAAUCUACCCAUCCCUGCGGAACAACUCCGGGAAACUGGAGCUAAUACCGCAUACGCCCUUCGGGGGAAAGAUUUAUCGGGGAUGGAUGGGCCCGCGUUGGAUUAGCUAGUUGGUGGGGUAAAGGCCUACCAAGGGGACGAUCCAUAGCUGGUCUGAGAGGAUGAUCAGCCACAUUGGGACUGAGACACGGCCCAAACUCCUACGGGAGGCAGCAGUGGGGAAUAUUGGACAAUGGGCGCAAGCCUGAUCCAGCCAUGCCGCGUGAGUGAUGAAGGCCUUAGGGUUGUAAAGCUCUUUCACCGAUGGAGAUAAUGACGGUAGUCGGAGAAGAAGCCCCGGCUAACUUCGUGCCAGCAGCCGCCGUAACAC
rnacentral:rRNA from 1 species